rnacentral:rRNA from 1 species
GACGAACGCUGGCGGCGUGCCUAAUACAUGCAAGUUGAGCGCUGAAGGUUGGUACUUGUACCAACUGGAUGAGCAGCGAACGGGUGAGUAACGCGUGGGGAAUCUGCCUUUGAGCAGGGGACAACAUUUGGAAGCGAAUGCUAAUACCGCAUAAAAACUUUAAACACAAGUUUUAAGUUUGAAAGAUGCAAUUGCAUCACUCAAAGAUGAUCCCGCGUUGUAUUAGCUAGUUGGUGAGGUAAAGGCUCACCAAGGCGAUGAUACAUAGCCGACCUGAGAGGGUGAUCGGCCACAUUGGGACUGAGACACGGCCCAAACUCCUACGGGAGGCAGCAGUAGGGAAUCUUCGGCAAUGGACGAAAGUCUGACCGAGCAACGCCGCGUGAGUGAAGAAGGUUUUCGGAUCGUAAAACUCUGUUGGUAGAGAAGAACGUUGGUGAGAGUGGAAAGCUCACCAAGUGACGGUAACUACCCAGAAAGGGACGGCUAACUACGUG